GUGGGUGUAGCUCAGUGGCAGAGCACGUGCUUAGCAUGCACAAAGUCCUGGGUUCAAUCCCCAGUACUACA
rnacentral:tRNA from 1 species